GUGGUGCUGGUGUCCAGCUAUUUGUGUUCGGGGCUGGGAGGCGCCGUAGGGUGUGCAGUGGUGUCGUCGGCGCGCAGUAGUUACGGGGCGGGAGUCAUUUGCUGUCCCGGGGCUGAGAUGGCCAGGCCAGAGAAUUAAUUGUUCCUACCCUCCUCAGGCCCUGGGGACCGCGCGCCCAGAAGGCCAGUGGCGUGUUGAAUUCCGCUGCCCGACACUCCCUCAGAAACCCGAGCGGUUCCCAGUGGCGGGCCCAAGUGGCGAAGAAACGUCAAAGGACUUUUUUGAUUUUUCCUAUUAGAACAUACAUAGGCACCCCACUCCCCCCCAGGAUUGUCUAAAACAGGUAGCCCACUGAAGAGUUCAAUGCUGUCAUUAUGGAUUGGCCAGAAGAACAAAAGAAUCAGCUUCCAUGGAUGGAUAUUGAGACUGAGAUAAUUUAAUGGGAUAAAAAUGAGAUCCAUUCCACCAUCUUCACCCAUACUUUUCUGAGAGGAAAUACUAAAUCAUCAAAAAGAAUCCAUUGGAGGAUUACAUCAUUUUUCUUGAGUGAUUCAUACAGACUUAUUUCAAGCUGAAGUUAUGGCUCCUGUAAUAUGGACAAGCUCAUGAAAAGCCAGAAGAUCUUUAUUUAGGAAUUCCAGGAUUUUUUAUUUCCCAAGGAGUAGUCAAAAUCACAUUACUAUGAAAGUUAUACUUCCCUCAUAUUAUCCUGAGUCAUGUUGUCUUGGAAAGAAAGGUAAUAGUCAUGGUGGUGAGCUGCCCUAAUCAUUAAGGAAAUGGCAGCAGCUCUUUCCUAUGAAGACACCAAUCCAGAAUCAGUGCACUCUCUGCCCCAUCUACACAACCUGACCCUAUGAGGUUCCCUUAGAGAACUCCUGUGUUCCUCUGGCAGUGCCCAGGCCAAGGAAAACCCCAUCACUGUCUCUAGACAAAGCCUGGGUAAUUGAAGCACAUACAGUGAUGCAGCUCUUCCAUCAUAUGGAAAGAAGUUGAAUGUCCUUUGUGUCGCUCCCCCUCUUCGUGGAGGAACGACACAGGACCCUGCGCUGUUCUUUCAUCUGCUCGGCCCUCCCCGGGUUUGCUGCUGGUUCUUCCCGGGUUGGCUACCGACCCUUCCACCUCCGUGGAAGGGCGGUUCCCCCUGCCACUUUCCCCACUUCCACGGGGGAGCAGCACACCGCUGGCCGGCUCUCUCGGGGGCUGCACAGGUGUUCCUUCAGAUAGAUGUUCCUGGUGCAUGUUGUCUCUCUCCUCCUUUAUAGUCCUCUUCCACCAAUCCCAACUCUGCUACCCACACGCCGAGUACGCUGCUCUCCUCCAAUCAGGAGCAGGUCCUACUGUUUAUUGGUUGAACUGGAGGCAGCUGUGUAGAAGCUGUUUGCUCCUCUCCCAGCGCCAUAUUGUGGGAGAGCAGAUGCAUAGAAUAAGUCUUAAUUCCAGUAACAGUAUAGUCCGAGUUGCUCCCCACACUUUGAAAAUGGAUGAAGAUCCUAGGCUGAAGCAAGCUCUCCAGGAAGAUGGUUAGUGUUUGGGGAGCCAGAGGUCAGAAAUGAGGGAUGAACUGCAGACUUUCCAUGCUUUCUCCUUCCCUCCAGCAGGACCAAGGAAAGAAUCAGCUCUCUGCUAUGGCUUGGGAAAGCAGUAGAAGAUGGCCCAAGUCCUUGGGCCCCUGCACCCACACGGAAGACCGGGAAGAAGCUCCUGCCUGGCUUCGGAUUGGCGCAGCUCCAACCAUUGCGGCUAUUGAAGAGUGAACCAAUGGAUGGAAGACCUUUCUCUCUGUCUCUCCCUCUCACUGUCUGUAACUCUAUCUCUCAAAUAAAUAAAUAAAAUCUUUUUAAAAAAUUAUCAACUAGAGUCAGUUUUGCCACUUAAAUGAACUUCUCCACAUACAUUGUCACUAAACCAGUUUAGGCACACAUCAUUUCUGCAUGUUCUAACACAACAUCCUUAGCAGUGCUAUUGCUCUGUGCAGUUUCAUCUCCUUUUAGUCUAAUGAGUCUUAUCCCCAAGCAAUGCAGUAGUAUCAUCUGAGAACCAUUUUAAAAUAUUCCCAAGAAUGUGGAUUUAAUUGGUUUGGGUUGUAACCUGAGGAUCAGCAAUUUUUUUUUUUUUUUUUUGUACAGGCAGAGUUAGACAGUGAGAGAGAGACAAAAAUUAAUUAAUUUGAAAGGCAGAGUGACAGAAGGAGGGAUCGAGAGAGGGGAGAGAGAUGUUCCAUCUGUUUAUUCACUUCCCAAAUAACCCACAACAGCCAGGGCUGGGCCAGGUCAAAGCCAGGAGCCAGAAAUUCUGUCCAUGCCUGCUUCGUGAGUGGCAGGAACCCAUGUACUUGGGCCAUCAUCCGCUACCUCCUAGAGUGUGCAGUAGCAGGAAGUUGAGUGAGAAGCAGAAGCAGGGCUCAAUCCCAGGCACUCCAAAAUGUGAUAUGGACAUCCGAAGAGGCAGCUGAACAUGCUGUGCCACAGUGCCCCUGAAUCAGCUUUGUGCGCUGCAUUCCCUGUAGUUCAAAAGUUUAUCCAGCCUUGACAGCCAUUAUUUUAGUCUUUCUUCCAUGUCAGUCUCAUAUCAUCAUUAUUUUUUGAUGUGCAAAUCCUAUAAUGUGUCAAUAUACCACCCCAAAUCCUCAUUGAUUACCCAAACCAGCAGAUGAUGUAACUAAUGGGCAUACUCAUAUUUCCUCUUAAUCUGGUUCCCACAUGCUUUUUUUCAGUCCUGCUAAUUCUUUUCCCAAACACUCUCACUGACCUGAAAAGGCCUAACCUCAUUCUCAAACAGCAUUAAGCUUGUUGCAAUUUCCUGAACAAAGGAGGCUCUGUCACCUGUGCAGACACCUGUACGUGUGUUCUCUUCCAUCCCUCCCAGAAAGACUCUCACUCAAACCACAGUGAAGUUGAAUCACAUAAUUAAGAAUACAUAAUGUAAUGUCAGCGUUUUAACUGUAGUGGUUUAAAGUGUUUUUGUCAUCCAGUUUUUUAUUCUCCUCUCAAAACACUUGACAGUCAGAUU